rnacentral:rRNA from 1 species
CACGUAGGGUCCGAGCGUUGUCCGGAAUUACUGGGCGUAAAGCGUGCGCAGGCGGUUGGGUCAGUCGCUGGUGAAAGCCCCACGCUCAACGUGGGAAUGGCCAACGAGACGGCCCGACUGGAGGCAGGGAGAGGCCGGUGGAAUUCCGGGUGUAGUGGUGAAAUGCGUAGAGAUCCGGAGGAACACCAGAGGCGAAGGCGGCCGGCUGGACCGUAACUGACGCUGAGACACGAAAGCGUGGGUAGCAAACAGG